GGUUUGAUCCUGGCUCAGAUUGAACGCUGGCGGGAUGCUUUAAGGACAUGCAAGUCGAACGGCAGCACGGACUUCGGCCCGGUGGCGAGUGCGGCGAACGGGUGAGUAAUGUAUCGGAACUGUGCCUAGUAGCGGGGGAUAAUCACAGCGAAAGCGUAGCUAAUACCGGGCAUAUUGCCUCGUGGGGGGAAAGCGGGGAUCUUCGGGGCCUCGCACUAUUAGAGCGGCCGAUAUCGGAUUAGCUAGUUGGUGGGUAACGGCUCACCAAGGCGACGAUCCGUAGCUAUUUGGAGGGAGGACGACUACCACACUGGGACGGAGACACGGCCCAGACUCCUACGGGAGGCAGCAGUGGGAAUUUUUGACAAUGGGGAAACUCGAUCCAGCCAUCCCCGGCGUGUGCGAUGAAGGCCUUCGGUUGUGGUAAAGCACCCUCUUUGGUGUUAGAAACGGCACGGGAUAAUACCCUGUGCAACCGACGGUACCUGCAGAAUAAGCACCGGGCUAACUACGUGCCAGCAGCCGCGGUAAUACGUAGGUGUAAAAAGCGUUAAUCGGAAUUACUGGGCGUGAAGCGUGCGCAGGUUCGGAAAAAGAAAGAUGUGAAAUCCUAGAGCUUAACUUUGGAACUGCAUUUUUAACUACCGAGCUAGAAAGUGUGUCAGAGGAGGUGGAAUUCCGCGUGUAGCAGUGAAAUGCGUAGAUAUGCGGAGGAACACCGAUGGCGAAGGCAGCCUCCCAUAACACUGACGCUCAUGCACGAAAGCGUGGGAGCAAACAGGAUUAGAUACCCUGGUAGUCCACGCCCUAAACGAUGUCAACUAGCUGUUGGGGCUCUCCGGGCCUUGGUAGCGCAGCUAACGGGUGAAGUUGACCGCCUGGGGAGUACGGUCGCAAGAUUAAAAACUCAAAGGAAUUGACGGACUCGCACAAGCGGUGGAUGAUGUGGAUUAAUUCGAUGCAACGCGAAAAACUCCACGCACUUUUGACAUGUCUAAAUCCCGGAAGAGAUUUCAGAGUGCUCGCAAGAGAACCGGGAACAUAUAGGGUAAAGGUAUGGUCCGUCGAAGCUCGUGUCGGGAGAUGUUGGGUUAAGUCCUGCAACGAUGGCAACCUUGUCAUUAGUUGCUACGAAAGGGCACUCAAUGAGACUGCCGGCAGACAAACCGGAGGAAGGUGGGGAUGACGUCGGUCCUCAUGGCCCUUAUGGGUAGGGCUUCACACGUUAUACAAUGGUCGGGACAGAGGGGUCGCCAACCCGGCGAGGGGGAGCCAGAUCCAGAAACCGAUCGGUCCGAUCGUAGUCUGGGCAACUCGACUGGUGUGAAGUUCGGAAUCGCUAGUGACCGCGGAUCAGCAUGUCGCGGGUGGAACACGUUCCUUGGUCUUGUACACACCGCCCGUCACACCAGCGAGUGGGUUUUACCAGAAGUAGUUACGAAGCCUAACCGUAUGAGGGCGAUUACCACGGUAUCCUCAUGAUCAGGCAGUCAACAAGGUA
rnacentral:rRNA from 1 species